GGUGAGGAAACAGGUGAGAAACCCUUCGGUGGGCUGGAGCCUGCUGCUGUGGGUGUGGACACGCCUGUCACUACUGUGGGCCCAAGAACACAAGGGAGCGGGAACACGUUAAGACAGGCAGGGGAGUGGACCUCACUCUGCCUCCCACCCCGGGGAUCCCGUGUGGAUCCCAGAAGGCUGAAGAGCCAGGGCAGGCAGGGCCAAGCCUUCUCUGCUGCCCUUUGUUCUGAAAGGGGCCUCCUCUCCCAUCAGCCCUCCAGCAGCAGCUGGUGGAAGACACGCAUUUGCACAUCCCAAAGUGUGCUGGGAAGGCAGUGGCCAGGGAGGGACUUGAGGCCAACGUAGGGGCAGCCCCACAAGGCAGGGACUUCCUCUCCUUCCCUUACACCCCAGCACCCCGGAUGGUGCCUGGUGCUCAAUGGGAGCUCCCUAAACCACCAUUGACUGCCUGGAUGGACAGAACAGGUGGUUGGACAGUUUUUCCAGAGCAGAAGCAGGGGCCUGGGACCCGGAAGAGCCGAGAAUAUACAACGACUUCACAAGGAGGAUCGGAUGAAGCCCGUCGGAGUUUGUGCUCAGAGAAGAUGCUGCUCACCAGCUCCAGGACAGAGCCACCCAAGGGACAUGGAGUCCACCAGAUCUCUUCCCUGGCCACCUGGUGUCCAGUUCGUGGGGACCCCAAUCACGCCAGCUGUAUUUCCCCAGAUAUACACAGGCUUCCAGCAGAAUACACAACCCCCAC
ensembl:lncRNA